rnacentral:lncRNA from 1 species
NNNNNNNNNNNNNNNAAUAAGAAGGAAUAUAAAACAUUCAAAAUCUCUUUUACCUGGCUAAAAUUAUCUAAAUUUCUAUUUGGGAUAUGAUAUUUAUAAUGUAACAGAUCUUUUGCUAUUUGAAAUUUUAAAAAUCAAAGACUGGAUAAAACUCUCCUCUUUAUUCUCUUUAUUUAAAGAUCUGUUUGGUUUUUUCUUUUUGGUGGAUUUCUUUUUUGGACACUAUGAGAAAUAAAACAGCAGCAUGAAUGCUACUGCUCAGUUGCAGAGAAGUUAUGAGAAUAUCAGAAUAUAUUUAAGAGGCAUAAUCAGACCUAAUACACACCAUCCUGUACACUAUGCUUAUUGCCCCACUUCUGAAUCUGGCUGAUUUGUAUUGACUAUCAGUCCCUUGUUCUUAGGAAGCAAAAAUUCUAAAAAAAAAAAAAACAAAAAACAAAAAACUGAAGCACCAACAUGGCACAUGUAUACAUAUGUAACAAACCUGCAUGUUGUGUACAUGUACCCUAAAACUUAAAGUAUAAUAGUAAUAAAAAUGGUGUUAUUCACACGUUCCAAUCCCCUUCUCAUAUUCUUUCUUAAAUCCAUUCAAAUAAAGCUUUAGUUCCAAAUAUCCACUCCAAACUGCUCUUUUCAAGCUUCCUGUUUUUAAAACUAAUGACUAGUUCUCUGUCCUCAUCUUACUUAGAUUGAACCAUGAGAAACUGCUGAUUUUGACCAUGUUAGACCUGCAAUAACAGAAAUUCCACGUGGUCCAAUCUUAUUUAACCUAAAAAACGCAUUUGAUUUAAUGGCAUCUCCCACUUUCUCGAGAUAUUUUCUUUACUUGGCUUCCAAAGCACCACAUUCUACUGGUUUUUCUCCUACCUCAUUGCAUUCCUUCUCAGUCUUUUUUUCCAGCGUACUUUAAUCUCUCCAACCUCUAAUCAUUACGUGUCCAGACUCAAACCAUGAAUGUAUUCUCAUCUUUAUUUGCACAUUAACUGGUUCUCAAACUUGAUUAUAUAUCAGAAUCAUCUACAGAGCAUUUAAAAUAUGUUGUGCCUUUGAACUUAUGGUUCUCUCUAUCCCAGAUAGUCACAUACCUUGCUCCCUUAUCUGCUUCAGGCUUUCUCUAGAAUCACCUUCUCCAUGAGGCCAUUUU